AAUCAACGCUGGCGGCGUGCCUAACACAUGCAAGUCGAACGAGAAAGGGCACCUUCGGGAGCCUGAGUAAAGUGGCGAACGGGUGAGUAGCACGUGGGUGACCUGCCCUAUGGAGGGGGAUAACCCGGGGAAACCCGGGCUAAAACCGCAUAAGCCUUUAAGGUCAAAAUUAAAGGGAAAGGGAGAAGUCUUUCGAGGCUUCACCUGCCGAAGGAGGGGCCCGCGUCCCAUUAGCUAGUUGGUGGGGUAAAGGCCUACCAAGGCGACGAUGGGUAGCCGGUCUGAGAGGACGGACGGCCACACUGGAACUGAGACACGGUCCAGACUCCUACGGGAGGCAGCAGUGGGGAAUUUUGGGCAAUGGGCGAAAGCCUGACCCAGCAACGCCGCGUGGAGGAUGAAGGCCUUCGGGUCGUAAACUCCUGUCCGAGGGGAAGAAAAAAAUGACGGUACCCUUGGAGGAAGCCCCGGCUAACUCCGUGCCAGCAGCCGCGGUAAGACGGGGGGGGCAAGCGUUGUUCGGAAUUACUGGGCGUAAAGGGCGCGUAGGCGGCCUGGGAAGUCUUGGGUGAAAGCCCCCAGCUCAACUGGGGAAUGGCCUGAGAAACCACU
rnacentral:rRNA from 1 species